rnacentral:rRNA from 1 species
GACGAACGCUGGCGGCGUGCUUAACACAUGCAAGUCGAACGGUAAGGCCCUUCGGGGUACACGAGUGGCGAACGGGUGAGUAACACGUGGGUGAUCUGCCCUGCACUUCGGGAUAAGCCUGGGAAACUGGGUCUAAUACCGGAUAGGACCACUGCCUGCAUGGGUGGUGGUGGAAAGCCUUUGCGGGGUGGGAUGGGGCCGCGGCCUAUCAGCUUGUUGGCGGGGUGAUGGCCUACCAAGGCGACGACGGGGAGCCGGCCGGAGAGGGUGACCGGCCACACUGGGACUGCGAUACGGCCCAGACUCCUACGGGAGGCAGAAGUGGGGAAUAUUGCACAAUGGGCGCAAGCCUGAUGCAGCGACGCCGCGUGAGGGAUGACGGCCUUCGGGUUGUAAACCUCUUUCAGCACCGACGAAGCGCAAGUGACGGUAGGUGCAGAAGAAGGACCGGCCAACUACGUGCCAGCCGCCGCCGUAA